AAAACAAAUACGUAGGGGGCAAGCGUUGUCCGGAAUUAUUGGGCGUAAAGGGCGCGUAGGCGGAUGUUUAAGUCCGGUGUGAAAGAUCAGGGCUCAACCCUGAGAGUGCAUCGGAAACUGGGCAUCUUGAGGACAGGAGAGGAAAGUGGAAUUCCACGUGUAGCGGUGAAAUGCGUAGAUAUGUGGAGGAACACCAGUGGCGAAGGCGACUUACUGGCCUGGCCCUGACGCUGAGGCGCGAAAGCGUGGGGAGCGAACAGG
rnacentral:rRNA from 1 species